AUGUUCAUAAGCAUGGAGCCGUCGCCUUUGACAGACAAGAUUGAUAUGUGGUUCGGCAAAUUGCUUGAUGGUCUACGGGCAUUCCCCUUUGAUAUUCCAGGGACAACAUCUCACACUGCACGAAAGUGUCGCCAGAAGCUAGAUGCCGUCUUCCGGGAGGAGCUGCAAGCAAGGAAGAUGUACAAGGAGUGUGAUGAUCUUAUGAGCGGAUUGAUGCAGAUGAAGGAUGAGCACGGGAAGAAAUUGAGUGACGAGGAGGUGGUACAUAACAUCAUCUCCCUCGUCAUCGCCGGCUACGAGUCCACUACCAUCGCCAUCAUGUGGGCUGUCUACCACCUCGCAAAAUCCCCGGUUGUCCUUGCUAAGCUUCGGGAGGAGAAUGUAGCGAUGAGCAAAAGCAAAGGUGGGUCUAUGUCAACGGGUUUGAUGAUUACCCACGAUGACAUCCCAAAGAUGAAGUACACCGCGAAGGUGGUGGAGGAGACAAUUCGGAUGGCCAACAUCGCCCCAAUGGUCCACCGUGUGGCGAACAAGGAUGUGGAGUACCGCGGCUACACCAUACCAAAGGGAUGGGCCGUGCUGGUGUGGUUGAGAUCAGUGCACACCGAUCCCAAUUACUACCAGGAUCCCCUCUCCUUCAAUCCUGACAGAUGGGAUGGACCGGCAAAGCCAGGAACAUACCAGGUGUUCGGAGGUGGCCCUCGGAUCUGCGCAGGCAACAUGCUCGCUAGGCUGCAGGUCACCAUCAUCCUGCAUCAUCUCUGCGUUGGCUAUGAAUGGGAGUUGAUCAAUCCCGAUGCACAGAUUAAUUACCUUCCGCACCCAAGGCCAGUGGAUGGCGCAGCCAUGACCUUUCGUAAGCUUAGCACCUGA
rnacentral:rRNA from 1 species